AGGGCACAAAAUUAUUUCACCAUUUUCAAGUCUCUCCAGAAACUUUCACUCUCAAGCUCCAAUGAAGCGCUAAUCAAACUCUCUCCAAGUUUUUGUUGCAACGAUUUUGAAGUCUCCAUCUCGAAAGAGUACCCUGAAAUCACAGUGAUUGAUGAUAGUAGGCUUUAUAGUUAACAGACAUUGUGUCCUCAUCAUCCCGGAGUUUUAUGCGCAUUUCAUCGACUUCUCAAUCGAGGUUUUACAUCUAGUUGGACAAAAUAGGGAGUAUGUUGUCUCAUGUAGAGUAUUUCAAAAGGACUUAACCGUAUGGCCUAGGAAAACUGCUCAUCUAUCAUAUCUUCUUAUGUAUGGCAUAAGAAAAUUUAAAUUAUGGAUCUAAAUGUUCAAUCUGUCUAGACUAUUCUGAUUUGUUUUAAAAUAUGGAUCUAAAGGACUUAACCGUAUGACAUUUUUGCUCA